CUAGCUAUCACCAAAAGUAUGUAUUACGCACAAGGGGGAAAGAGUGGUUGUUUACUGGCCCAUGCCUUGAAAAAACAAAGAGAAACCACCUUUUUAGCCUUAAUACAAAACAAGGAAGGUAGAAACUCCCAGCUCAUUAUGAGUGAGGAAUUCCACACAGUGAUCACCCUUUUACCCAAACCAGGGAAAGAUCUGACCCUAUGUGGCAGUUACCGGCCCAUCUCAC